rnacentral:other from 1 species
AACGCCCUGCUGUGUUCGUGGUCAACCUUGAAGUUUUGAGCCAACACUUUAAAAAUGGGAGUCCGGGCUCUGGAUGUGGCUUGCACGCCUCCUUGGUCGAGGACACAAAAAUCAUCCAGGAGGGCACCCACCUGUGAGAGCAGGUUCAAACUUUUGGGGGUCACGGCAUUUGUGGGGUAUUU